rnacentral:tRNA from 1 species
AUAAAUGUAGGAAGUUCUUACAGAUAGUACUUGCAGUUUAAUGAUAAGGUCUUAUUGUUUUUUGAGUCUU